AUGCAAAAAAAAGAAAAGAAAAUAAUAGGUAAAUAUAGUAUACUUUAUUAAUUAAUACUUUUGUAUUUUAUACAGUGUACUCUCGAUUAUCCACCGUCUUCCGCAAAAUCAUCUGCAUACCUGUCAUACCUAUAUGGCUAUAUGUAUAUACAAAUAUAUAUUUACAUUAUAAAUCAUUAUAGGUUUUUAAUUGGAUGAUAAUUCGUGAUAGCCGAUUACUCGAUAACCACGUAACAUACAAUACGCUUGCUUAAUAUCAAUACAUAUGUUUGUACAUAUUGUGUUAUGUACCUUUAAUGUUAGACCCUCGAAUGUUUAGCGGAUAAUCAAGAGUACACUGUAUUGGCUAUUUUGGUUUCGAUCCCCCAAAAUAUAUGCUCAUCGAUGUACAUUUUUUGAACGAUUUAAUUCCAAUGGUAGAAUGCAGUUAUACAAUUUAAAAUAAUUAUCGUUAUUAAUAUAUUAUUUUGCCUACAUAAGAAAUGUACAGUAAUACUUGGCGGCGGCUGGAGCCCAGAAUUUAUAAAGAUUCAAGUUGUCACAGCAUGGACCGACGACUGUACGACAGAUACUCGGGACGAAUGGUAUGAGCUAAGGUCCUUGCACGACUGAACGAUUUAUUUUUUUGCAUUACAGUAUAGGUACUUAAGUAAAAAUUUUAUUUAAGAUUUAACUGGUUAACAUCAAUGUAUAAGGACGAAUAUAUUUCCGGUUCUGAUAAUACGUUAAGCAAUAACACCUAAGUCUUUGUUCAUCUCAUUAAAAAAAAAACAUAAGUGUCAUAAGUGUAAGUAAUUAGGUAGCUUAUUAUAAUAGACAUGUGCAAUGUGUCUACCUAA